GCCCCCGUAGCUCAACAGGAUAGAGCAAGGGCGUCCUAAGUCCUGUGUUGCGGGUUCGAAUCCCGCCGGGGGCGC
rnacentral:tRNA from 1 species